UACAGAGGGUGCAAGCGUUAAUCGGAAUUACUGGGCGUAAAGCGCACGUAGGUGGUUUGUUAAGUUGAAUGUGAAAUCCCCGGGCUCAACCUGGGAACUGCAUCCAAAACUGGCAAGCUAGAGUAGGGCAGAGGGUGGUGGAAUUUCCUGUGUAGCGGUGAAAUGCGUAGAUAUAGGAAGGAACACCAGUGGCGAAGGCGACCACCUGGGCUCAUACUGACACUGAGGUGCGAAAGCGUGGGGAGCAAACAGG
rnacentral:rRNA from 1 species